rnacentral:rRNA from 1 species
AGUGAACGCUGGCGGUAGGCCUAACACAUGCAAGUCGAACGGCAGCACAGUAAGAGCUUGCUCUUACGGGUGGCGAGUGGCGGACGGGUGAGGAAUACAUCGGAAUCUACUUUUUCGUGGGGGAUAACGUAGGGAAACUUACGCUAAUACCGCAUACGACCUACGGGUGAAAGCAGGGGAUCUUCGGACCUUGCGCGAUUGAAUGAGCCGAUGUCGGAUUAGCUAGUUGGCGGGGUAAAGGCCCACCAAGGCGACGAUCCGUAGCUGGUCUGAGAGGAUGAUCAGCCACACUGGAACUGAGACACGGUCCAGACUCCUACGGGAGGAAGCAGUGGGGAAUAUUGGACAAUGGGCGCAAGCCUGAUCCAGCCAUACCGCGUGGGUGAAGAAGGCCUUCGGGUUGUAAAGCCCUUUUGUUGGGAAAGAAAAGCAGCAGGUUAAUACCCCGCUGUUCUGACGGUACCAAAAGAAUAAGCACCGGCUAACUUCGUG